rnacentral:misc_RNA from 1 species
GCUUGCUUAUGGUCUUGUGGGGGGCAACCCUUGCAGGGUCAGGCAAUGCUACCCUUGUCUAUGUAUACCUGCUGUUAUUUCCCUCGGCGGGGCAACCCGCCCUGGGGACACUAUAAACCCUUGCAAUAUGUAUCAAACCUUCUGAAACAAACCAAAAUAAUUACAACUUUUAACAAUGGAUCUCUUGGUUCU